rnacentral:rRNA from 1 species
UAGGGAAUCUUCGGCAAUGGGGGCAACCCUGACCGAGCAACGCCGCGUGAGUGAAGAAGGUUUUCGGAUCGUAAAGCUCUGUUGUAAGAGAAGAACGAGUGUGAGAGUGGAAAGUUCACACUGUGACGGUAACUUACCAGAAAGGGACGGCUAACUACGUGCCAGCAGCCGCGGUAAUACGUAGGUCCCGAGCGUUAUCCGGAUUUAUUGGGCGUAAAGCGAGCGCAGGCGGUUAGAUAAGUCUGAAGUUAAAGGCUGUGGCUUAACCAUAGUACGCUUUGGAAACUGUUUAACUUGAGUGCAGAAGGGGAGAGUGGAAUUCCAUGUGUAGCGGUGAAGUGCGUAGAUAUAUGGAGGAACACCGGUGGCGAAAGCGGCUCUCUGGUCUGUAACUGACGCUGAGGCUCGAAAGCGUGGGGAGCAAACAGGAUUAGAUACCCUGGUAGUCCACGCCGUAAACGAUGAGUGCUAGGUGUUGGGUCCUUUCCGGGACUCAGUGCCGCAGCUAACGCAUUAAGCACUCCGCCUGGGGAGUACGACCGCAAGGUU